UUCGGGACUGAUUAUUUUGUGACUGAGUGGCGGACGGGUGAGUAACGCGUGGGUAACCUGCCUUGUACAGGGGGGAUAACAGUUGGAAACGGCUGCUAAUACCGCAUAAGCGCACAGCAUCGCAUGAUGCAGUGUGAAAAACUCCGGUGGUAUAAGAUGGACCCGCGUUGGAUUAGCUAGUUGGUGAGGUAACGGCCCACCAAGGCGACGAUCCAUAGCCGACCUGAGAGGGUGACCGGCCACAUUGGGACUGAGACACGGCCCAAACUCCUACGGGAGGCAGCAGUGGGGAAUAUUGCACAAUGGGCGAAAGCCUGAUGCAGCGACGCCGCGUGAGCGAAGAAGUAUUUCGGUAUGUAAAACUCUAUCAGCAGGGAAGAUAAUGACGGUACCUGACUAAGAAGCACCGGCUAAAUACGUGCCAGCAGCCGCGGUAAUACGUAUGGUGCAAGCGUUAUCCGGAUUUACUGGGUGUAAAGGGAGCGCAGGCGGUGCGGCAAGUCUGAUGUGAAAGCCCGGGGCUCAACCCCGGUACUGCAUUGGAAACUGUCGUACUAGGGUGUCGGAGGGGUAAGCGGAAUUCCUAGUGUAGCGGUGAAAUGCGUAGAUAUUAGGAGGAACACCAGUGGCGAAGGCGG
rnacentral:rRNA from 1 species